CAGUCGCCGCGGGAAUACGGAGGGUGCAAGCGUUAAUCGGAAUUACUGGGCGUAAAGCGCACGCAGGCGGUCUGUCAAGUCGGAUGUGAAAUCCCCGGGCUCAACCUGGGAACUGCAUUCGAAACUGGCAGGCUAGAGUAUUGUAGAGGGGGGUAGAAUUCCAGGUGUAGCGGUGAAAUGCGUAGAGAUCUGGAGGAAUACCGGUGGCGAAGGCGGCCCCCUGGACAAAAACUGACGCUCAGGUGCGAAAGCGUGGGGAGCAAACAGGAUUAGAUACCCGUGUAGUCCCUGUCUCUUAUAA
rnacentral:rRNA from 1 species